rnacentral:rRNA from 1 species
AUGCACGCUGGCGGCGUGCCUAAUACAUGCAAGUCGAGCGAACAGACGAGGAGCUUGCUCCUCUGACGUUAGCGGCGGACGGGUUAGUAACACGUGGAUAACCUACCUAUAAGACUGGGAUAACUUCGGGAAACCGGAGCUAAUACCGGAUAAUAUAUUGAACCGCAUGGUUCAAUAGUGAAAGACGGUUUUGCUGUCACUUAUAGAUGGAUCCGCGCCGCAUUAGCUAGUUGGUAAGGUAACGGCUUACCAAGGCAACGAUGCGUAGCCGACCUGAGAGGGUGAUCGGCCACACUGGAACUGAGACACGGUCCAGACUCCGACGGGAGGCAGCAGUAGGGAAUCUUCCGCAAUGGGCGAAAGCCUGACGGAGCAACGCCGCGUGAGUGAUGAAGGUCUUCGGAUCGUAAAACUCUGUUAUUAGGGAAGAACAAAUGUGUAAGUAACUAUGCACGUCUUGACGGUACCUAAUCAGAAAGCCACGGCUAACUACGUG